GACGAACGCUGGCGGCGUGCCUAAUACAUGCAAGUAGAACGCUGAAGCUUGGUGCUUGCACCGAGCGGAUGAGUUGCGAACGGGUGAGUAACGCGUAGGUAACCUGCCUGGUAGCGGGGGAUAACUAUUGGAAACGAUAGCUAAUACCGCAUAACAGCAGAUGUCGCAUGACAUUUGCUUAAAAGGUGCAAUUGCAUCACUACCAGAUGGACCUGCGUUGUAUUAGCUAGUUGGUGAGGUAACGGCUCACCAAGGCGACGAUACAUAGCCGACCUGAGAGGGUGAUCGGCCACACUGGGACUGAGACACGGUCCAAACUCCUACGGGAGGCAGCAGUGGGGAAUAUUGCACAAUGGGCGAAAGCCUGAUGCAGCAACGCCGCGUGAACGAUGAAGGUCUUCGGAUCGUAAAGUUCUGUUGCAGGGGAAGAUAAUGACGGUACCCUGUGAGGAAGCCCCGGCUAACUACGUGCCAGCAGCCGCGGUAAUACGUAGGGGGCUAGCGUUAUCCGGAUUUACUGGGCGUAAAGGGUGCGUAGGUGGUCCUUCAAGUCGGUGGUUAAAGGCUACGGCUCAACCGUAGUAAGCCGCCGAAACUGGAGGACUUGAGUGCAGGAGAGGAAAGUGGAAUUCCCAGUGUAGCGGUGAAAUGCGUAGAUAUUGGGAGGAACACCAGUAGCGAAGGCGGCUUUCUGGACUGCAACUGACACUGAGGCACGAAAGCGUGGGUAGCAAACAGG
rnacentral:rRNA from 1 species